rnacentral:rRNA from 1 species
GAUGAACGCUGGCGGCGUGCCUAAUACAUGCAAGUCGAGCGAACGGACGAGAAGCUUGCUUCUCUGAUGUUAGCGGCGGACGGGUGAGUAACACGUGGAUAACCUACCUAUAAGACUUGGAUAACUUCGGGAAACCGGAGCUAAUACCGGAUAAUAUUUUGAACCGCAUGGUUCAAAAGUGAAAGACGGUCUUGCUGUCACUUAUAGAUGGAUCCGCGCUGCAUUAGCUAGUUGGUAAGGUAACGGCUUACCAAGGCAACGAUGCAUAGCCGACCUGAGAGGGUGAUCGGCCACACUGGAACUGAGACACGGUCCAGACUCCUACGGGAGGCAGCAGUAGGGAAUCUUCCGCAAUGGGCGAAAGCCUGACGGAGCAACGCCGCGUGAGUGGUGAAGGUCUUCGGAUCGUAAAACUCUGUUAUUAGGGAAGAACAUAUGUGUAAGUAACUGUGCACAUCUUGACGGUACCUAAUCAGAAAGCCACGGCUAACUACGUG